rnacentral:rRNA from 1 species
GGUUAAGUGACUAAGCGUACACGGUGGAUGCCUAGGCAAUCAGAGGCGAAGAAGGACGUGCUAAUCUGCGAAAAGCUUGGAUGAGUUGAUAAGAAGCGUUUAAUCCAAGAUAUCCGAAUGGGGAAACCCAGUAGAUGAAGAAUCUACUAUCAAUAGAUGAAUACAUAGUCUGUUGAGGCAAACCGGGAGAACUGAAACAUCUAAGUACCCCGAGGAAAAGAAAUCAACCGAGAUUUUGUCAGUAGCGGCGAGCGAAAGCGAAAGAGCCAGCAAGUGAUAGCAGCAAAGACAGAAGAAUUGGC